GUCCCUGCAGGGCAAUGAAUGGAUAGCGCGUUGGACUUCUAAUCCAAAGAUGGUGGGUUCGAAUCUCAACUGGGAUG